rnacentral:rRNA from 1 species
GAGUUUGAUCCUGGCUCAGGAUGAACGCUGGCGGCGUGCCUAAUACAUGCAAGUCGAACGAAACUUCUUUAUCACCGAGUGCUUGCACUCACCGAUAAAGAGUUGAGUGGCGAACGGGUGAGUAACACGUGGGCAACCUGCCCAAAAGAGGGGGAUAACACUUGGAAACAGGUGCUAAUACCGCAUAACCAUAGUUACCGCAUGGUAACUAUGUAAAAGGUGGCUAUGCUACCGCUUUUGGAUGGGCCCGCGGCGCAUUAGCUAGUUGGUGGGGUAAAGGCUUACCAAGGCAAUGAUGCGUAGCCGAACUGAGAGGUUGAUCGGCCACAUUGGGACUGAGACACGGCCCAAACUCCUACGGGAGGCAGCAGUAGGGAAUCUUCCACAAUGGGCGAAAGCCUGAUGGAGCAACGCCGCGUGGGUGAAGAAGGUCUUCGGAUCGUAAAACCCUGUUGUUAGAGAAGAAAGUGCGUGAGAGUAACUGUUCACGUUCCGACGGUAUCUAACCAGAAAGCCACGGCUAACUACGUGCCAGCAGCCGCGGUAAUACGUAGGUGGCAAGCGUUAUCCGGAUUUAUUGGGCGUAAAGGGAACGCAGGCGGUCUUUUAAGUCUGAUGUGAAAGCCUUCGGCUUAACCGGAGUAGUGCAUUGGAAACUGGGAGACUUGAGUGCA